AGUGACAGUGGCUACGAGCUGCUGUAACACUGAUCUUUGCAAUGCUGCAGAUGGAGUGUACAAGGGAAGCUUCCUCUUGCUGGUGUCUCCUCUGCUCUUCUACUUCCUGUUUCAGUGAGUUCAGCUGAACUUCAGAUUCUACAGCAAAGACCAUCAAACAAACUCAAUAUGAGACACAAUCUGAAUAAAGCUUGUUUGUUGCUCUGCUGUUCUUUGGUUUAAGGAACUGAAAAUCUGUACUUAUUUAACAUUAAAAAAUUACUGCAUUAAAACUA